rnacentral:rRNA from 1 species
AUACGUAGGGGGCAAGCGUUAUCCGGAAUUACUGGGUGUAAAGGGAGAGUAGGCGGCAUGAUAAGUUAGAUGUGAAAGCCUUGGGCUUAACCUCGGAACUGCCUUUGAUACUGGGUGUCUAGAGUGUGGAAGAGGUAAGUGGAAUUCCGAGUGUAGAGGUGAAAUUCGUAGAUAUUCGGAGGAACACCAGUGGCGAAGGCGGCUUACUGGUCCAUUACCGACGCUGAGGUGCGAAAGCGUGGGGAGC